AGUGAACGCUGGCGGUAGGCCUAACACAUGCAAGUCGAACGGCAGCACAGUAAGAGCUUGCUCUUACGGGUGGCGAGUGGCGGACGGGUGAGGAAUGCAUCGGAAUCUACUUUUUCGUGGGGGAUAACGUAGGGAAACUUACGCUAAUACCGCAUACGACCUACGGGUGAAAGCAUGGGAUCUUCUGACCUUGCGCGAUUGAAUGAGCCGAUGUCGGAUUAGCUAGUUGGCCGGGUAAAGGCCCACCAAGGCGACGAGCCGUAGCUGGUCGGGGAGGAUGAUCAGCCACAUUGGAACUUAGACACGGUCCAGGCUCCUACGGGAGGCAGCAGUGGGGAAUAUUGGGCAAUGGGCGCAAGCCUGAUCCAGCCAUAGCGCGUGGGUGAAGAAGGCCUUCGGGUUGUAAAGACCUUUUGUUGGGAAAGAAACGCAGCAGGUUAAUACCCCGCUGUUCUGACGGUACCCAAAGAAUAAGCACCGGCUAACUUCGUG
rnacentral:rRNA from 1 species